rnacentral:lncRNA from 1 species
AUAAACAUGAUCUUUUAGCCAUUUGAAUUCUUAUAGUAUAUGUUGGCUAUAGUAGAUUCAUUAUAGGAGUAGGGUGUAUACUUAUAAGAGAUCUAUCGAUCUUAGUAGAUAAGGAGUAGUCUUAUGAGAUUUGAAAAGUCAAGUCUAUUAGUCUAUGGCCAUAGAAAGGUGAUUGAUGGAAAAAAUUUUCAUGAGUAUUACAUUUGGACUUGAGCUAAUUGAAUUUGUUAUAUGAUGGAUGUUGGGGUUUGAUGAGUUUUCAUGAUCUCCGUC